GCGGAGGACACUGAAAACUACUGUAUCUAUGUAUCAUGAAAAAAAAUAUCGCUGUAUUGCCAUCAACCAGCAGCAGCACACAUCUAGCAAACCGGCGGCGCAUACGGAACGAAUGACAACACAGGGUAUGCUGGUGCGGGCGUUAUACCUGCUUGUUGAUCUCAACGCCGAUGGCGCGCUUGGUGACGUUCCAGACGCGACCGGUGCGGCCGUGGUAGAACUUGUGCGGCAUGCCCUUGUGCACGGCGCCGUUCACCUUGACGUCGACGUAGUCGCCGAUCUUGUAGGUGCGCAGGUACGUGGUGAGCGGGAUGUAACCCUUCUUGCGGAACGGCCGCGCGAACAGGUCGCGGGUCCGCGACCGAAGCCCGUGCCCCGCCGGCAUCUUCCUCCUGUUUCCUGCGGCUGGGCGGCGGCGGCGGCGGCUGCUGCUACUGCGGGAGU
rnacentral:misc_RNA from 1 species